rnacentral:rRNA from 1 species
UCGGGAAUUUUGGACAAUGGGCGCAAGCCUGAUCCAGCCAUGCCGCGUGAGUGACGAAGGCCUUAGGGUUGUAAAGCUCUUUCGGCGGGGAAGAUAAUGACGGUACCCGCAGAAGAAGCCCCGGCUAACUCUGUGCCAGCAGCCGCGGUAAUACAGAGGGGGCAAGCGUUGUUCGGAAUCACUGGGCGUAAAGCGCACGUAGGUGGAUAGUUAAGUUCGGGGUGAAAUCCCAGGGCUCAACCCUGGAACUGCCUCGGAUACUGGCUAUCUCGAGUCCGGAAGAGGUGAGUGGAAUUCCUAGUGUAGAGGUGAAAUUCGUAGAUAUUAGGAAGAACACCGGUGGCGAAGGCGGCUCACUGGUCCGGUACUGACACUGAGGUGCGAAAGCGUGGGGAGCAAACAGGAUUAGAUACCCACGUAGUCCCUGAGCGGGCUGGCAAGGCGCAU